rnacentral:rRNA from 1 species
AAAUUGAAGAGUUUGAUCAUGGCUCAGAUUGAACGCUGGCGGCAGGCCUAACACAUGCAAGUCGAACGGUAACAGGAAGCAGCUUGCUGCUUUGCUGACGAGUGGCGGACGGGUGAGUAAUGUCUGGGAAACUGCCUGAUGGAGGGGGAUAACUACUGGAAACGGUGGCUAAUACCGCAUAACGUCGCAAGACCAAAGAGGGGGACCUUCGGGCCUCUUGCCAUCAGAUGUGCCCAGAUGGGAUUAGCUUGUUGGUGAGGUAACGGCUCACCAAGGCGACGAUCCCUAGCUGGUCUGAGAGGAUGACCAGCCACACUGGAACUGAGACACGGUCCAGACUCCUACGGGAGGCAGCAGUGGGGAAUAUUGCACAAUGGGCGCAAGCCUGAUGCAGCCAUGCCGCGUGUAUGAAGAAGGCCUUCGGGUUGUAAAGUACUUUCAGCGGGGAGGAAGGUGUUGUGGUUAAUAACCACAGCAAUUGACGUUACCCGCAGAAGAAGCACCGGCUAACUCCGUGCCAGCAGCCGCGGUAAUACGGAGGGUGCAAGCGUUAAUCGGAAUUACUGGGCGUAAAGCGCACGCAGGCGGUCUGUCAAGUCGGAUGUGAAAUCCCCGGGCUCAACCUGGGAACUGCAUUCGAAACUGGCAGGCUUGAGUCUUGUAGAGGGGGUAGAAUUCCAGGUGUAGCGGUGAAAUGCGUAGAGAUCUGGAGGAAUACCGGUGGCGAAGGCGGCCCCCUGGACAAAGACUGACGCUCAGGUGCGAAAGCGUGGGGAGCAAACAGGAUUAGAUACCCUGGUAGUCCACGCCGUAAACGAUGUCUACUUGGAGGUUGUGCCCUUGAGGCGUGGCUUCCGGAGCUAACGCGUUAAGUAGACCGCCUGGGGAGUACGGCCGCAAGGUUAAAACUCAAAUGAAUUGACGGGGGCCCGCACAAGCGGUGGAGCAUGUGGUUUAAUUCGAUGCAACGCGAAGAACCUUACCUGGUCUUGACAUCCACGGAAGUUUUCAGAGAUGAGAAUGUGCCUUCGGGAACCGUGAGACAGGUGCUGCAUGGCUGUCGUCAGCUCGUGUUGUGAAAUGUUGGGUUAAGUCCCGCAACGAGCGCAACCCUUAUCCUUUGUUGCCAGCGAUUAGGUCGGGAACUCAAAGGAGACUGCCAGUGAUAAACUGGAGGAAGGUGGGGAUGACGUCAAGUCAUCAUGGCCCUUACGACCAGGGCUACACACGUGCUACAAUGGCGCAUACAAAGAGAAGCGACCUCGCGAGAGCAAGCGGACCUCAUAAAGUGCGUCGUAGUCCGGAUUGGAGUCUGCAACUCGACUCCAUGAAGUCGGAAUCGCUAGUAAUCGUGGAUCAGAAUGCCACGGUGAAUACGUUCCCGGGCCUUGUACACACCGCCCGUCACACCAUGGGAGUGGGUUGCAAAAGAAGUAGGUAGCUUAACCUUCGGGAGGGCGCUUACCACUUUGUGAUUCAUGACUGGGGUGAAGUCGUAACAAGGUAACCGUAGGGGAACCUGCGGUUGGAUCACCUCCUUA